rnacentral:rRNA from 1 species
UACGUAGGCAGCGAGCGUUGUUCGGAGUUACUGGGCGUAAAGGGUGUGUAGGCGGUUGUUUAAGUUUGGUGUGAAAUCUCCCGGCUCAACUGGGAGGGUGCGCCGAAUACUGAAUGACUUCGAGUGCGGGAGAGGAAAGUGGAAUUCCUGGUGUAGCGGUGAAAUGCGUAGAUAUCAGGAGGAACACCGGUGGUGUAGACGGCUUUCUGGACCGUAACUGACGCUGAGGCACGAAAGCGUGGGGAGCAAACAGG